UACGGAGGGGGCUAGCGUUGUUCGGAAUUACUGGGCGUAAAGCGCACGUAGGCGGCUUUGUAAGUUAGAGGUGAAAGCCCGGGGCUUAACCCCGGGUCUGCAGUGGAUACGGGCAGGCUAGAGGUAGGUAGGGGAGAAUGGAAUUCCCGGUGUAGCGGUGAAAUGCGCAGAUAUCGGGAGGAACACCGGUGGCGAAGGCGGGUCUCUGGGCAACAACUGACGCUGAGGAGCGAAAGCGUGGGGAGCGAACAGG
rnacentral:rRNA from 1 species